CAGUCUGGAGACACACCUCGCUCCCUGCUUCCUUCACUGUCUUGUCUGCAGAGCUGUGUUUGGUGUCCAGCCACUCUCAGAACACUGUUCCCUGAGUCCAGACUCAGCAGCCAUGGGGAGUGAAGCUGUCAAUACUGGUGUUGCCAUAGCUGGCUUAGUGACAGCUGUUGGCCAGGCCAUCGCUCAAGUUGCUCCGACACACCGGCAGUGCCAUAUCACCAUAACGAAUGGAUGCAGCAGCUACUCCCUCACCAACACCAGGUGGUACACUGACAGUGGAGGCUGUGCGGCACCCUUUCCACCCACCAUUUCUUCCCAUGCGCUGGAGAGCGCUCUGUUCAUCAAGACUCCUUACACCGCUUGUGGUGCUGUCGGCGUCGUCACCUACGACCUCCUGAACAAUGACAGCAAACAAACCACAGAAAAAAUUGCAAUAAUGUUCUCGAAUCCCUACGACUUUAACGUUCACUCAAACCUGUACGCACUGGGAAUCUUUGACGUGAGCAGGGAGUGUGAUGAGAAUCUUUAUAAUGAGAUGGCGAAUGGGACGAGUGACUCCUUCAUCAGAAGUAAACCAGUUGGCAACGUCUUGAUUUACAAAAAAAAUGGUAUUACCAUCAAGGCGACAAUGUCAGAUGCCUAUCAGGCUGUGAUAAAGGUGGAACUUAGUGAGACUAACUAAAAUGAGUGAUGAGAGACAUAUAUCAAUAUCUGGAUGUUAGAAUAUUAUGUCUUCCACUGGAAGACAAUAAUAAAGAAUCAAUAAUAUUGAAUCAGAGAUCUUUAAAGUGUGGAGGGAUGAGGUUGAACCAAUUCCCCCAACAGCUACUAUACUACAAGUCUUUCUCUGCAGCAUGAAACAGUGGUGCCUUCUGGUUUUUCUCUCAUGCAUAUUAUUCUUUAUUUUGGCAAAAGGUCAGUAUUUUCAUGGAGAGACAGAGCCCUGAAGCUCCCAAUACUUAAGAACAGCUGUUCUCUCAACUGUAACUCAGACCAAUCAUUAAUAUCACAUCCUGUGUAGCAGGUUGGUUGGCAGGUGGCUGACUGUCUCUAUUCCUGCUGCAGUGCUGAUCUGAUACAAGUAGACCUAAAACAGAUUUUAGGCUGAUAGUGAUAUUACCAUACAUUCGACCUUUUCUUUUGAUCCACUUUUGCUGCUAAUUUCAACAGAUAUAGUCCUACUUAUACAGUUGCUCUCUAUAUGAACUCCCUUUGGAAUUUGUAUCUUUUUUUCAUUUGGAAAAAUCAAAUAAAUUUUUGA